rnacentral:lncRNA from 1 species
UCAGGUUGGAUGCUAGUUAGAGAUCUAUCACACUAUCUAUCGAUUAUAUCGAUAGAUUUUGAUGUCUUGGUUAAGGUUAUAAUGGCAUGUAUAGGUGGACUUGUGGUUGAUGUUUAGUUGAAUGUAAGUUGAUGAGUUUGACAUGUAUAGGUCAUUUUGGGUAAUGAAGCCUUGGUACAUUUAGUGCCUUGUUGAUAUGUGUUAAUUUGAUAAUGUGUUAAAGCAUGCUUGAAUAGCCAAAGUGAUAUAUGAUGAAUUGACUUCAAC